rnacentral:rRNA from 1 species
AUUGAACGCUGGCGGCAUGCCUAACACAUGCAAGUCGAACGAGUGGCGGACGGGUGAUUAAUGUCUUGGAAACUGCCUUAUGGUGGGGGAUAACUACUGGAACCGGUAGCUAAUAUCGCAUACCAUCAGAUGUGCCCUGAUGGGAUUGGCUUGUUGGUGGGGUAACGGCUCACCAAGGCGACGAUCCCUAGCUGGUCUGAGAGGAUGACCAGCAACAGUGGAACUGAGACACGUGCCUGACGCCGACGUGAGGCAGCAGUGGGGACUAGUGCACAAUGGGCGCAAGCCUGAUGCAGCCAUGCCGCGUGGAUGAAGAAGGCCUUCGGGUUGUAAAGUACUUUCAGCGGGGAGGCGUUGCCCGAAGAGGAAGCACCGGCUAACUCCGUGCCAGCAGCCGCGGUAAUC